rnacentral:rRNA from 1 species
UACGGAGGGGGCUAGCGUUGUCCGGAAUUACUGGGCGUAAAGCGCACGUAGGCGGCUUUGCAAGUUAGAGGUGAAAGCCCGGGGCUCAACUCCGGAAUUGCCUUUAAGACUGCAUCGCUAGAAUUGUGGAGAGGUAAGUGGAAUUCCGAGUGUAGAGGUGAAAUUCGUAGAUAUUCGGAAGAACACCAGUGGCGAAGGCGACUUACUGGACACAUAUUGACGCUGAGGUGCGAAAGCGUGGGGAGCAAACAGG